rnacentral:lncRNA from 1 species
AGAUAACAAUAGGUGAUAAUAUGGGAAUAGAGAGUAGAGCAAUUCUAGUAUAUGGGCGAUGGUAGCAGAAUAGAGAGUAUAACUAUGGUUUCUCUACUUCAAAGGGGUAUGUCUAUGUCUGGGACGAACCACGUGAUAAGAGUACACCACGAAGGAUGCUUAUCCUUAGGCCGAUAAACCCUACCCAUCCUGCUAACGAGAGGUGGACUACAGAGGACCAACGUAACUGUCACCUACGCGGCCUACCACACGA